UACGUAGGGGGCAAGCGUUGUCCGGAAUCAUUGGGCGUAAAGAGCGUGUAGGCGGCCCGGUAAGUCCGCUGUGAAAGUCCAGGGCUCAACCCUGGGAUGCCGGUGGAUACUGUCGGGCUCGAGUCCGGAAGAGGAGUGUGGAAUUCCGUGGUGUAGCGGUGAAAUGCGCAGAUAUCAGGAGGAACACCAAUGGCGAAGGCAGCACUCUGGGACGUGACUGACGCUGAGACGCGAAAGCGUGGGGAGCAAA
rnacentral:rRNA from 1 species